CGCGGUCUCUGUGGUAUCGGGCAGCCGCAGGAAUUUGUGGCAUUUCAGAUUCCUGCCUUUCCCACCACUUCCUCCCAGGACAGCCCGGUGCACCCGUUGGAACAAACAUCACCCAGAGGUGAGAGCUCAGGAGACAUGACUCAGUAGCAACAAACAGCUAAAGACAGCAAAGAGUUCUGCAGCAAUUCCUGCCUCAAACACCAGCACUGGGAGACAAGAACAGCAAGAGAUACUCCUGAAGCAAUACCUUCUUUUUACAGCCUAGUUAACAUGGGUUACACAGCUCAUGAAGCCAUCUCCUCUGUGAAUGAACUCCAUUAAUGAAGCCACUCUACAACCUUACAGUAUUAAGGAACCAGCAGUCCUAUUUGCAAAGGAAUAAAUUUUGACAAACAAAAGCCUGAAAAAGCUGGUUGUUGUAGACCUAAACUAGAGCACUGGAACAAGAAACACCACCACCAACACCAGGCUGUCUGUUAUCUCUAAGAUAAAAACUGCUUUCAGUGUAAUCAGCUUCACUGAUGUUCCUACAACAGCUUACUCCCUUCCUUCACAGCUGAAGCUGCUAUGCUGACAGCCCAGGCUUUAUUAAUAUUUCAUUUUACAGUGGGAAAUGGAUGCAUGGAAAAAUGCAUGGAAACAGGGACUAAGUAGUCAAGUACCAGACCAGCAGAGCUCCUCAGCUCAAGCAGCAAUACUUCUAGGCCAAAACAGGUCUCAGAGAAGUUUGUAUUUACACACUCGCAAGCAGAGGCUUACAAUAAAAGUAUCAGUCUAGCCAAACUGUAGGGUUUUUUUUUGCAGGUGUAUUGGAAAUCACCAAGAAGCUCAUACAUAUGUGAACAGCAAGCACCAGCAACCCUUACCACCUGCACUGCUGCAUGGAUUAAGGCAAGGCCCUGAGCUGAUCACACCUGCUAUGCAAUAAGCCACAGGUUACACUUUGUAAUUAACAUUAACCCUAUCAGAUUAUCAAGCUCCUUACUUCACUUUAUAUCUUAUUACCUUUCUGCUCCAAUUGUUUCAUUAUUUAUAGUUUCCUCAGCCAAGCUAGCAUGUCCCAGUGAAUCUCUCUAUUACAGAGAAAGGCAAGAUCAAUUUUUUCAUUGCUUUGUCAGGAAGAUGUCUCAGACACAGAAGUGAACUUCAGAAACAGCUUCUGUACUGUUUUACCAUUACCACCUUGAUCUUCCUUGGCUAUUCCUCAAAAUUUGAGGAAGUCUGCCACUUUGAGUCUUCUCCAGACACAGAUCCAGACCAAAUGUCCUAUUGCUUUGAGCUAACCAGAAAAAGUUUAGCAUAUUGGCCAGAGGCCACGUAACCUUUCCAUUAUCACCCUGCUUUAAACAGCAGAGAAAAGUCCUCAGAUUCAGCCCAACCCACUCUGUGCACAGAUAUUCCUGACUGGGGAACGAGCAGCACUUCUUGCAGCCAAGAGGCUGAGGCUUCAGUUGUUGCUUCCUGUACCUUCAGAGACCCCCAGCCAGCCAACACAAACAAAAACAGCUUCCUCCUCACCUGCCUGGUGCCCACUGGGACCUGUCUGGCAUGCAGAGAUAAGCAGCAGUCAGCAUGGCUGCUCUGGCUUGGCCCUGUCCUUACUGCAUCUCCCACAUUACAUGGCAGGGGUUUUGCGGGGUUCUUUCCAAAUGUAGUUUCUUUCCUCCCCGACACACCUACCAGUCCACAUUCAACCCUUUCAAAAGCAUUUUUCAUAAAAUGCUGAAGAGAACGAGCCAUCUGCAGGACAGGCAAAGCAGCUUUUAUUACCUUCAUGAUCUACUGCCACAUUAUGAACAUUUUCCACAAAUCCAAGUUUUAUCAUCUUUCACUCUUUCUGCACGUUCACCCAGCUUGGAAAAUAAAAAAUUAUUUUCCAGAACUUCUGAAAAAAUACAUCUGAUACUUAUGGAUUUUGCAUUUGCUUCUCUAUCAGUGAAACAAAUGCAGCCCUUUCUAAGGCAACAUGAAUGCCCACUACAGGUGCAGCUUAUAAAUGAAAAUUUAAGCAACCAGUUAAGUAAAAUGCCUGGCAUCUAUGCUGAUUUCCAAAAAACAGGCAUGCAUAACACCUAGGAACAGAAACUGCAUGAACCAAAUGCUUCCAAUAUGCUCUGCACGCAAUAAAAA